AGUGUGCAAGUGCAAGUGCAAGUGUAGUGCACCAGAGUGUGCCAGCGAGAGAGCACCAGAGGGUGCCUCUGGGCACCAGAGUGUGGUGAGGUUGGAAGAGCAAUUGUAUGAGAGCUCUGAGUGUGUGUGAGGCCAGAGAUAGAGAGUUGAGUGAUUGUAAUGUUUGUAUUAAUGAGAAUACAAUGUUCCUCCUCCGUGGACGUAGGCAUUCAGGCCGAACCACGUUAAAUCUUUGCCUCCUUUAUGUUCCUCGUCUCGCACCGGUCCCAACAAAUUGAACUAAAAAUGUGAUAAUGGAUUACGGGAGGCAUUUUAAAAGUUUAGGGACCAAGUUGAAGGCGGUUGACACAUUCAGGGACCAAGUUGGCUAUUUACCCCUUCUGUUCACACACAUGUCAAUAUAUAUAACAUAUCCAAAUUGAUCUUUUGUUUUCUUCCCUCUAGCAUAAUAUAUUUUAAUCUUAUAAAAGAUGGUGUUUUAACAUGUUUGUUUUGUCUGUUUCUUUUUGCGAUUUGCUAUAUAUGAGGAUUGUGCUCGUUGAUCUUAUCAAAAGAUGCAUGCGGUUAAAAUGUUUGUCUAACAACAUUAUCAGAUGAAGUGCAUGUAGAGAGGGCCUAGGUGUUCAUCCUCUUCCUCCACUUUUUUUGGACAAUUUCCUCUGCCUCCACUUGUUUAUCCAAAAAUGAUAGUAAUAGACAAAAGUGGAGGUUUGGUGUUUCUAGUGACAUUUUAGCCUCCUUAAUUGUUACGAUAAUAUAUACCCGCAUUCAACCGGAUUGCAUA